rnacentral:rRNA from 1 species
GAUGAACGCUGGCGGCGUGCCUAAUACAUGCAAGUCGAGCGAACAGACGAGGAGCUUGCUCCUCUGACGUUAGCGGCGGACGGGUGAGUAACACGUGGAUAACCUACCUAUAAGACUGGGAUAACUUCGGGAAACCGGAGCUAAUACCGGAUAAUAUAUUGAACCGCAUGGUUCAAUAGUGAAAGACGGUUUUGCUGUCACUUAUAGAUGGAUCCGCGCCGCAUUAGCUAGUUGGUAAGGUAACGGCUUACUAAGGCAACGAUGCGUAGCCGACCUGAGAGGGUGAUCGGCCACACUGGAACUGAGACACGGUCCAGCCUCCUACGGGAGGCAGCAGUAGGGAAUCUUCCGCAAUGGGCGAAAGCCUGACGGAGCAACGCCGCGUGAGUGAUGAAGGUCUUCGGAUCGUAAAACUCUGUUAUUAGGGAAGAACAAAUGUGUAAGUAACUAUGCACGUCUUGACGGUACCUAAUCAGAAAGCCACGGCUAACUACGUG